rnacentral:rRNA from 1 species
AGAGUUUGAUCAUGGCUCAGAAUCAACGCUGGCGGCGUGCCUAACACAUGCAAGUCGAACGAGAAAGUGGAGCAAUCCAUGAGUACAGUGGCGACCGGGUGAGUAACACGUGACUAACCUACCUUUGAGUGGGGGAUAACAUCGGGAAACCGAUGCUAAUACCGCAUAACAUCGCAAGAUCAAAGCAGCAAUGCGCUUAAAGAGGGGGUCGCGGCUGAUUAGCUAGUUGGCGGGGUAACGGCCCACCAAGGCGAAGAUCGGUAUCCGGCCUGAGAGGGCGCACGGACACACUGGAACUGAAACACGGUCCAGACUCCUACGGGAGGCAGCAGUGGGGAAUUUUGCGCAAUGGGGGAAACCCUGACGCAGCAACGCCGCGUGGAGGACGAAGUCCCUUGGGACGUAAACUCCUUUCGACCAAGACGAUAAUGACGGUACCCGAAGAAGAAGCUGCGGCUAACUACGUGCCAGCAGCCGCGGUAAUACGUAGGCAGCGAGCGUUGUUCGGAAUUACUGGGCGUAAAGAGUGCGUAGGCGGUGCUCUAAGUCUGUUGUGAAAUCUCCCGGCUUAACUGGGAGGGUGCGGCGGAAACUAGAGUGCUAGAGUGUGGGAGAGGUAAGCGGAAUUCCUGGUGUAGCGGUGAAAUGCGUAGAUAUCAGGUGGAACACCUGUGGUGUAGACAGCUUACUGGACCACGACUGACGCUGAGGCACGAAAGCGUGGGUAGCAAACAGGAUUAGAUACCCUGGUAGUCCUAGCCCUAAACCAUCAGAACUUGGGGUGGCCCGCGUAG